rnacentral:lncRNA from 1 species
AAAAAAAAAGAGAGGGGUGGACGGGCCGGCCCGAAAAGACCGGGCCCAUCCACCAUAUACGGAUGAGGCAGCAGCGGCGCUAGAGAGGGCGAUCGCCGGAGGAGGCCGGUCGUCGGGGGAGCAUGACCGCCGGAGAAGAGGGCGAUCGUGGGGGAAGGCGGCGGAUUUCGCAAGCCGGCGGGUCAAGGAGGAGGAUCCCCACCAAACACACGAAGAGGCCUCGGAUCCGUGGGUUUACUCACGGAUUUCUCCACUGAUUUCUCGCCGGAAGGGCCGCCGGAGCAUCCUGCCGGACCGAGGUAAGUCCUUGUGCUUCAUUGAUUGGUUUUUGGGUGGUGUUGGUGGAGUUUUGGCCGGUGAAGCCGUCGAAGAGGGAUCCGAAACAGGGUACCCCUGUUUCGGCCCCUUUCUUU